GACGAACGCUGGCGGCGUGCCUAAUACAUGCAAGUAGAACGCUGAAGGAGGAGCUUGCUUCUCUGGAUGAGUUGCGAACGGGUGAGUAACGCGUAGGUAACCUGCCUGGUAGCGGGGGAUAACUAUUGGAAACGAUAGCUAAUACCGCAUAAUAGCAGUUGUUGCAUGACAACUGUUUGAAAGGUGCAAUUGCACCACUACCAGAUGGACCUGCGUUGUAUUAGCUAGUUGGUGGGGUACGGCUCACCAAGGCGACGAUACAUAGCCGACCUGAGAGGGUGGUCGGCCACACUGGGACUGAGACACGGCCCAGACUCCUACGGGAGGCAGCAGUAGGGAAUCUUCGGCAAUGGACAGAAGUCUGACCGAGCAACGCCGCGUGAGUGAAGAAGGUUUUCGGAUCGUAAAGCUCUGUUGUAAGAGAAGAACGAGUGUGAGAGUGGAAAGUUCACACUGUGACGGUAUCUUACCAGAAAGGGACGGCUAACUACGUG
rnacentral:rRNA from 1 species